rnacentral:rRNA from 1 species
UACGAAGGGGGGCUAGCGUUGCUCGGAAUCACUGGGCGUAAAGGGCUCGUAGGCGGCCAACUAAGUCAGACGUGAAAUCCCCUCGGCUUAACCGGGGAACUGCGUCUGAUACUGGAUGGCUUGAAUCCGGGGAGAGGGAUGCGGAAUUCCAGGUGUAGCGGUGAAAUGCGUAGAUAUCUGGAGGAACACCGGUGGCGAAGGCGGUUCUCUGGGCCUUACCUGACGCUGAGGAGCGAAAGCGUGGGGAGCGAACAGG